UAGUCUGUAGCAGUAACAGAGUGGAGAAGCUAGUCUGUAGCAGUAACAGAGUGGAGAAGCUAGUCUGUAGAAGCUAGUCUGUAGCAGUAACAGAGUGGAGAAGCUAGUCUCUAGCAGUAACAGAGUGGAGAAGCUAGUCUCUAGCAGUAACAGAGUGGAGAAGCUAGUCUGUAGCAGUAACAAAGUGGAGAAGCUAGUCUGCAGCUGCUACAGUAACAAAGUGGAGAAGCUAGUCUGUAGCAGUAACAGAGUGGAGAAACUAGUCUGUAGCAGUAACAGAGUGGAGAAGCUAGUCUCUAGCAGUAACAGAGUGGAGAAGCUAGUCUGUAGCAGUAACAGAGUGGAGAAGCUAGUCUGUAGCAGUAACAGAGUGGAGAAGCUAGUCUGUAGCAGAAACAGAGUGGAGAAGCUAGUCUGUAGCAGUAACAGAGUGGAGAAGCUAGUCUGUAGCAGUAACAGAGUGGAGAAGCUAGUCUGUAGCAGUAACAAAGUGGAGAAGCUAGUCUGUAGCAGUAACAGAGUGGAGAAGCUAGUCUGUAGCAGUAACAGAGUGGAGAAGCUAGUCUCUAGCAGUAACAGAGUGGAGAAGCUAGUCUGUAGCAGUAAC